AAAUAAAAGAAAACAAUGAAAUUUGGCCGUUUUAAGAUUUAAAUAUGCAUUUUAUAUUAAUAUGAUAGUAAGGAUGCAUUUAUCCAAUAAGUAAAUUAAAGUAAUUGAUUCAAUCAUGUCAUACCAUAAACGAUUCUAGACGUACAAUGAUAUUUUAAUCAUGGCAGCCCUAAGCUCUGACACUUUUCUUACUUCCGUUCAUUUAAGUUUUUUUUAUUAGUAUUUUCUAUUAAGAGCAUUCAUUUUCAAUGCCUAAAACUUGUUAUUAAAUCUCGAAAUUAUUAAUUAAGGUCAUAAAUACCAAAGUUACCUUAACUAUCAGUGUCACAGUGAAUUAAAACCUUAAUAAGCAAAUAAAUGACAACCAUCUAACCGCCAUAUUGUAAAUAAAUAAGCUGUAUGGAGAAAGUUGACAAAGCAUUAUCACGACAGAAAUUUUAAUUGUACUGGAAAAGAUCGUCCUCGCGUGUGCUUUUUACGAUUCUCUAAAUAUUCUACCCAUUGCCAAUCGCAAGAACUGUACAAGACAAACGCAAUAGAAUUUCGGAUUAAAACACGAUCAUGUUCUUCACUUUCGUCAAAUUUUAUAAAUCUUCAAUGAAUCUAGUGCCCUACGAUGACCUAUGAGUCCUAUGACCUAAAGUUUGAACUGUAUAGAAACAAGGAUGUUUAAUUAAUGUGCCGAGUUCCUGUUCGAAUCGAUAUACCGAUCGAAAUGGGCUCAAAUAUGAAAUCUGUCACUCCUAGCAAGUAAACUGACAACUCUAUUGGAAUAGUCCCUGUUGCCUGACUUACAUGAACUGUAAACAAUGACAAUGUAUUGAAAUUAUGCUGGAGAACCCCGCUUGCUGGAUUUGAUGAAUCUUUACACAACCUUAAAGACAAACAGAGACAACUCUGAUGGCUGCCUAUAUAUACCCAUACCUAGUGUUUGGUGAUGUUUAAGCCGAGCGGAGCAAAUUUCCGUUUGCUGUUUUCAUGGACUUUUCCGAGUCUCUCGAUAAUCUCCAACAAACAGAAUGGUUUCCUGAUACCUGGCCGUUAGGUCACCUAGCAGUCAGUUAAACUUAAGCCAAGCGAAGGAAAUCUCGAUGGUUAUUUUCAUGAUUCCUGUUUCUCCAUGUCUUACCACAAUUUUCAAUGUUCCGGAGAACUAACAGUGCCCCGCAGAGUCAUUACGUCUAGCCUCAAAAUACACACUAUGGAAUGCUUCUAUUUCUGAAAGAUUACGAAGGACCACACCUCUCCAGACUCCUGUUCAAUAAUUUUAUUUCACAACUUUUGCUGUAACAAUGGCUGCUGUCUACUGCCACUUCAAAGUUCCUGUCCCACGGCUCUAUUUCUAGAAACCCGCACCCACAACAGCAGUGGUCUACAUUGAAUACUACUUAUAGGGAAAGUGACACUCAAGAUCUUUUAUGUUAGGUACUUAGUAUGCUAGGCUUAACCAAUCAUGUACUAUUAUUCGACCGUAGUCAGAAUACGAUGGAAAAGUACCGUCAAC